UACGAAGGGGGCUAGCGUUGCUCGGAAUUACUGGGCGUAAAGGGCGCGUAGGCGGAUAUUUAAGUUAGAGGUGAAAGCCCAGGGCUCAACCCUGGAAUAGCCUUUAAUACUGGAUAUCUUGAGUUCGGGAGAGGUGAGUGGAACUCCGAGUGUAGAGGUGAAAUUCGUAGAUAUUCGGAAGAACACCAGUGGCGAAGGCGGUUCUCUGGGACGGUACUGACGCUGAGACGCGAAAGCGUGGGGAGCGAACAGG
rnacentral:rRNA from 1 species